rnacentral:rRNA from 1 species
UGACAGCCCCGUACACAAAAGCGCAUGUGCUGUGAGCUCGAUGAGUAGGGCGGGACACGUGGUAUCCUGUCUGAAUAUGGGGGGACCAUCCUCCAAGGCUAAAUACUCCUGACUGACCGAUAGUGAACCAGUACCGUGAGGGAAAGGCGAAAAGAACCCCGGCGAGGGGAGUGAAAAAGAACCUGAAACCGUGUACGUACAAGCAGUGGGAGCCCCACCACCAAAGCAUUCUCUGGUGUUGAAGGCCCUGCAAAGCAGCAUCGCGGUGGCGGAGCGUCGUUUGCGACGCCCAACACACAAAACAAGCGGUGAGUGCUUUGGGGUGGGGUGACUGCGUACCUUUUGUAUAAUGGGUCAGCGACUUAUAUUCUGUAGCAAGGUUAACCGCAUAGGGGAGCCGCAGGGAAACCGAGUCUUAACCGGGCGUUAAGUUGCAGGGUAUAGACCCGAAACCCGGUGAUCUAGCCAUGGGCAGGUUGAAGGUUGGGUAACACUAACUGGAGGACCGAACCGACUAAUGUUGAAAAAUUAGCGGAUGACCUGUGGCUGGGGGUGAAAGGCCAAUCAAACCGGGAGAUAGCUGGUUCUCCCCGAAAGCUAUUUAGGUAGCGCCUCGUGAAUUCAUCUUCGGGGGUAGAGCACUGUUUCGGCUAGGGGGUCAUCCCGACUUACCAACCCGAUGCAAACUGCGAAUACCGAAGAAUGUUAUCACGGGAGACACACGGCGGGUGCUAACGUCCGUCGUGAAGAGGGAAACAACCCAGACCGCCAGCUAAGGUCCCAAAGUCAUGGUUAAGUGGGAAACGAUGUGGGAAGGCCCAGACAGCCAGGAUGUUGGCUUAGAAGCAGCCAUCAUUUAAAGAAAGCGUAAUAGCU